rnacentral:tRNA from 1 species
AGCUCGGUGGUCGAGUGGUAAGACAUCUGUACUAAAAACAGGAGGUCGUGGGAUCAAGUCCCACCCGAGUGA